UACGAAGGGGGCUAGCGUUGCUCGGAAUCACUGGGCGUAAAGCGCACGUAGGCGGACUCUUAAGUCGGUGGUGAAAUCCUGGAGCUCAACUCCAGAACUGCCUUCGAUACUGGGAGUCUUGAGUCCGGGAGAGGUGAGUGGAACUGCGAGUGUAGAGGUGAAAUUCGUAGAUAUUCGCAAGAACACCAGUAGCGAAGGCGGUGGUCUGGGCCGGUACUGACGCUGAGGAGCGAAAGCGUGGGAGCGAACGAGG
rnacentral:rRNA from 1 species